CACCAUAACCUUUUUGGUUUUUGCUUCAUUGAGAUCAUUAGUCAUAUGACUUCUGGUUUAAUCAGAUGCUUCUUGCAGAGAGGCAUUGCACACGUGCCUAUCUUCCUCACCCACCUUUUGGAGCUGAGGUAAACAGGCAAGAGUGCAGACCAUGCUCAACUGAACAAGUGUCCUUUCUGCAUUUCAUUGCAAGACUGUCCUGGCAAAUGUACG